rnacentral:rRNA from 1 species
GACGAACGCUGGCGGCAUGCUUAACACAUGCAAGUCGAACGGAAAGGCCCUGCUUUUGUGGGGUGCUCGAGUGGCGAACGGGUGAGUAACACGUGAGUAACCUGCCCUUGACUUUGGGAUAACUUCAGGAAACUGGGGCUAAUACCGGAUAGGAGCUCCUGCUGCAUGGUGGGGGUUGGAAAGUUUCGGCGGUUGGGGAUGGACUCGCGGCUUAUCAGCUUGUUAGUGGGGUAGUGGCUUACCAAGGCUUUGACGGGUAGCCGGCCUGAGAGGGUGACCGGCCACAUUGGGACUGAGAUAGCGCCCGGACCCCUCGGGGGGGCAGCAGUGGGGAUUAUUCAAAAAGGGGGGGAAGCUGUAUGCAGCACCGCCGCGGGCGGGAUGCCGCCUUUGGGUUUGUAACCCGUUUUCGCCUGUGACGAAGGGUGAGUGACGUAAAUGGGUAAAAAAGGCCCGGCAAACUACGUC